rnacentral:rRNA from 1 species
CAAGGGGGCGGCUUAAACUUGCAAGUCGAACGGUAGCAGGAGGCAACUUGCUGCUUCGCUGACGAGUGGCGGACGGGUGAGUAAUGUCUGGGAAACUGCCUGAUGGAGGGGGAUAACUACUGGAAACGGUAGCUAAUACCGCAUAACGUCGCAAGACCAAAGAGGGGGACCUUCGGGCCUCUUGCCAUCGGAUGUGCCCAGAUGGGAUUAGCUAGUAGGUGGGGUAACGGCUCACCUAGGCGACGAUCCCUAGCUGGUCUGAGAGGAUGACCAGCCACACUGGAACUGAGACACGGUCCAGACUCCUACGGGAGGCAGCAGUGGGGAAUAUUGCACAAUGGGCGCAAGCCUGAUGCAGCCAUGCCGCGUGUAUGAAGAAGGCCUUCGGGUUGUAAAGUACUUUCAGCGGGGAGGAAGGUGUUGAGGUUAAUACCCUUGUCAAUUGACGUUACCCGCAGAAGAAGCACCGGCUAACUCCGUGCCAGCAGCCGCGGUAAUACGGAGGGUGCAAGCGUUAAUCGGAAUUACUGGGCGUAAAGCGCACGCAGGCGGUCUGUCAAGUCGGAUGUGAAAUCCCCGGGCUCAACCUGGGAACUGCAUUCGAAACUGGCAGGCUAGAGUCUUGUAGAGGGGGGUAGAAUUCCAGGUGUAGCGGUGAAAUGCGUAAAGAUCUGGAGGAAUACCGGUGGCGAACGCGGCCCCCUGGACCAAGACUGACGCUCAGGUGCGAAAGCGUGGGGAGCAAACAGGAUUACAUACCCUGGUAGUCCACGCCGUAAACGAUGUCGACUUGGAGGUUGUGCCCUUGAGGCUUGGCUUCCGGAGCUAACACGUUAACUCGACCGCCUGGGGAGUACNNCCGCAGGGUUAAAACUCAAAUGAAUUGACCGGGGCCCGCACAAGCGGUGGAGCAUGUGGUUUAAUUCGAUGCAACGCGAAGAACCUUACCUACUCUUGACCUCCGCAUAACUUAACAAANAUGCUUUGUUGCCUUCGGCAACUCUGAAACAGGUGGUGCAGGGCUGUCCUCACCUCCUCUCCCCAAAGUUAGAUUAAUUCCCUAACCAACCCAUCCCUUUCCUUUGUGGCGGCGGGUCGGCCGGGACUCCAAGGAAAAUGCCACCCANNACCGCCAGAAGGGGGGGAAGGGGUGGGGUUUGUUUUCCCUUUUGGGGGGGGGC